GAUGAACGCUGGCGGCGUGCCUAAUACAUGCAAGUCGAGCGAGCAGACGAGGAGCUUGCUCCUCUGACGUUAGCGGCGGACGGGUGAGUAACACGUGGAUAACCUACCUAUCAGACUGGGAUAACUUCGGGAAACCGGAGCUAAUACCGGAUAAUCUAUUGAACCGCAUGGUUCAUUAGUGAAAGUCGGUUUUGCUGUCUCUUAUAGAUGGAUCCGCGCCGCAUGAGCUAGUUGGUAAGGUAACGGCUUACCAAGGCGACGAUGCGUAGCCGACCUGAGAGAGGGAUCGGCCACACUGGAACUGGAACACGGUCCAGACGCCUACGAGAGGCAGCAGUAGGGAAUCUUCCGCAAUGGGCGAAAACCCGACGGAGCAACGCCGCGUGAGUGAUGAAGGUCUUCGGAUCGUAAAACUCUGUUAUUAGGGAAGAACAAAUGUGUAAGUAACUAUGCACGUCUUGACGGUACCUAAUCAGAAAGCCACGGCUAACUACGUG
rnacentral:rRNA from 1 species